UGCUAGUCGAACGAUGAAAGCGGGAGCUUGCUCCUGCUGGAUUAGUGGCGAACGGGUGAGUAACACGUGAGUAACCUGCCCUUGACUCUGGGAUAAGCGUUGGAAACGACGUCUAAUACCGGAUACGACCUUCGGAGGCAUCUCCUGGGGGUGGAAAGAAUUUCGGUCAAGGAUGGACUCGCGGCCUAUCAGCUAGUUGGUGAGGUAAUAGCUCACCAAGGCGACGACGGGUAGCCGGCCUGAGAGGGUGACCGGCCACACUGGGACUGAGACACGGCCCAGACUCCUACGGGAGGCAGCAGUGGGGAAUAUUGCACAAUGGGCGAAAGCCUGAUGCAGCAACGCCGCGUGAGGGACGACGGCCUUCGGGUUGUAAACCUCUUUUAGUAGGGAAGAAGCGAAAGUGACGGUACCUGCAGAAAAAGCACCGGCUAACUACGUGCCAGCAGCCGCGGUAAUACGUAGGGUGCAAGCGUUAUCCGGAAUUAUUGGGCGUAAAGAGCUCGUAGGCGGUUUGUCACGUCUGCUGUGAAAACUGGAGGCUCAACCUCCAGCCUGCAGUGGGUACGGGCAGACUAGAGUGCGGUAGGGGAGAUUGGAAUUCCUGGUGUAGCGGUGGAAUGCGCAGAUAUCAGGAGGAACACCGAUGGCGAAGGCAGAUCUCUGGGCCGUAACUGACGCUGAGGAGCGAAAGCAUGGGGAGCGAACAGGAUUAGAUACCCUGGUAGUCCAUGCCGUAAACGUUGGGAACUAGAUGUAGGGGCCAUUCCACGGCUUCUGUGUCGCAGCUAACGCAUUAAGUUCCCCGCCUGGGGAGUACGGCCGCAAGGCUAAAACUCAAAGGAAUUGACGGGGGCCCGCACAAGCGGCGGAGCAUGCGGAUUAAUUCGAUGCAACGCGAAGAACCUUACCAAGGCUUGACAUAUACCGGAAAAGUUCAGAAAUGUUCUCCCCGCAAGGUCGGUAUACAGGUGGUGCAUGGUUGUCGUCAGCUCGUGUCGUGAGAUGUUGGGUUAAGUCCCGCA
rnacentral:rRNA from 1 species